UACGGAGGGAGCUAGCGUUUUUCGGAAUUACUGGGCGUAAAGAGCAUGUAGGCGGCUUAUUAAGUUGAAAGUGAAAGCCCAGGGCUUAACCCUGGAACUGCUUUCAAAACUGAUAAGCUAGAGGAUGAUAGGGGACAGUGGAAUUCCUAGUGUAGAGGUGAAAUUCUUAGAUAUUAGGAGGAACACCGGUGGCGAAGGCGACUGUCUGGAUCAUUACUGACGCUGAGAUGCGAAAGCGUGGGGAGCAAACAGGAUUAGAAACCCCGGUAGU
rnacentral:rRNA from 1 species